UCAUUUUCCAGAAUCAGUUUCCAGAUAGUUUGGAAACACUUGAUCUGUCUGUAUUGAGUGACUUCAGGCUUUUAUUUUUGCGAUCCUUUGGGGAUAGCCACAAUGCUGGAUUUCAACUUCAUUGCAUAAUUGAGAUAGUUUAGUCUGCAAAUGAAGCAAGAAAAUAGCAUGUAUUACAUUUGAUUUGCAUUUUUACCCCUUAGCUUGUGCUCUUUUGUAGUUCUCCUUUGUAAGGAGAUUUUGUUGUUGUUGGGCUUUUUUUUGUUGUUUAAAGACUGUAUCAUAGUCUUGCUCUUGCCUUGCUCAUGUUGAUGCCCCUGAAAUUUUCUGAAAACUGUUCCAAAAUCUUUGCUAGUAUGACUUUGACUUUAAUGGCACUAAGCCAUGGAUAAUUGGCUCAGUUUCCCAAAAUUCCACUGCCUGUUGUUAAGAUAAACAUUUCUAGGUUCCCAAGAACACAGAUGCAUGUAUAUGGUAAUACACUGGGUAUACAGAGCAACCUUUAAACAGCAUAUUCUUGUUUUCCUAUUUCAUUUUUGAUGUUUAAACACAAACUUCAUAAGCAGAAAAAUGACUUGACAGAAUAAUUGUGCCAGUUAUUAAACUACAGGAUAGCAUUUUGAGAAGGGCUAUGAGACUUCUCUCUUGUUGUAGCCAUUAACUUCUAUGGAAGCAGAAGGGAAGCAGUCCUGUGUUGGAAUGGUGUGUGUUGGGAUGUGACCUUGUUAGUCAGCAGUUCGAGUCUCUGUUACUGGAAGUCCAUGUGACCAAGGCUUUGGUAUAAGGCCCAGAAUUGCUGCUUGUUUAGGAAUUUCUAGUCUUUUUAUGUUGCUCCUCAGCACUGGUACCUCAAGUGACUUGUAAGGCCCAGAUAUCCAUAAGAGUUGGUUUGACUUUCUCUUUGCCCCCAGUCCAAAGCUUUAGAGAGAGUCUGUGAUUAUAGAGCUUGUGACAGAGCUGGGUUCAGUUCACUCAUGUCCUAUCAAAUGUACUAGUGUAUGGGUGAAAGCAUUUUUCCCAUACAUACCUACUUAAACACGGAAAAUAAAAUAGAUAUGAGGCUCAGGGAUGUUAAAAGACAGUUAAGAAACUGAGGAAUAGGUUCUGAGGAACUCUGUGCAUGUUUAGGGUUGUAAGACAACCUUGAAGAGUGAGGGACAUUCUCGCUCGAUUAUGCCGGUUGCUGCAGCACAGGGGAGGCUUGCUACCAGGGAUGCUGUGAGCCAGAAGACAUCUUCUCAGCAUCUUACUCAGAGCAGGAAUUGGUGACCUGACUGUCCUUGGAGGUCAGCUUCCUAAAAGUCAUCUUUUAAAUUGCUUCUAGCAGCAAUAGCGAACUUUCAGUUCUUACUAUCUGCAAAAAAAUGGGAUGUUUCCUCAACAGAUUGGCUUUUGAUUUGUUUGGGUGUGUGUUAAUAUUUGUGUGUGUGUGUUUCAUUUUGGGGUUUUUGUGUGUGUGGUUUGUGGAUUUCUUUUUGUUUGUUUGUUUUUGUGUUUUUCUUUCUUCAUCAUCUCUUUAUUUGAUCAUUCAACUUGAUCCAAAACAAUAAACUGACAGUAAGUGGAUCAGGACACAGCAUGUGUGGGGUGUGUUUUUUUGGGGGGAUGGUUGUGUUUGGUUUUGUUUGUUUGUUCUAGGGCAGUUUGCGAGAAAUUUUUUUUCCUUCUGUCAGCUGGUUCCUUUCACCCCUACUCUCACUGUCUCUGCAAUAAGAAAUAGUAAAGAAAACCAGUGGUCGUAGUUCUGUUUGAUGAUAUUUUGUGUAAAUGGUUUCAGAAGGACAGCUAUUAAAAAUUGAAGUAAUGAUACUUCUCCAAUGCUGUAAAACAGCAUUUUUAAAAAUCUAAAUUAUUCCAACUCUAUGUAUACUCUUCAAGGCUUUGUGUAGAGGGUGAAAAUUCAAAAAAUCCUCCUGUAAUAAGAGCUAAACAUUAACAAUAUUAAUGCAAAGAAAGAUUCAAAUUCCUUCCUCUGGUUUUAAAUCGUGAUAAACACCUAGUUUGAGUCAGUGUGGUCUUUGUUUAGGGCUACUUUGACUAAAACUUUUGGCCCUAAUUUGCUGGCAGUUAGCUUAAUUGUAUUUUUGUUUAAACAGUAGUAGUGUUGGGGGGAACCACCAUUCCAGCAUGGUCUUUCAGCUGUUUUCACUGCUUUCCCUUGCUAUUUAGUAUUGUCCUGAGGAAGAAGGUAUGGCUUUGCUGUCUGAUCAGGGAUUUGGCUUGGAAUGGUAACAUAUUUUAAUCUGAAUAUCUUUACCUACUGCAUACUAAUCAUAGGCCCCGGCACUGUUCACUAGGGUGGCUGUUUUGCUUGCUUUGUUUUCCCCUUUACCUAGCAGCUGUUUCAUGUGUGUCUGAUGCCGUUUGUGCCUCUCUGUUCUGCUUCUAGUCAAGAGCUCUUGCUGGUUUUUCUGUAGAUAGGAGAUGACCUGAGGACUCAAGAGGAGACACAGUGCUGUUACCUCCUCUGCUGAUUUUCAGAGAAAUUGUGGUCAUCCCAUAGCUUUUCCCAACUAGUGGAAAAGCAAUACCAAGUACUUAACUGUCUUUUGAAAGUCUUUGAGGCUUAUGGAGAAAUAAAGAAGUGGGGAGUUUCAUGUUCUUGUGGUGUGUAACCAAACAACUCUUUGCAGGUUUCUUUCAUCACCGUUUCUAUACAUACUAUUUGGGGACAUGCUUUGCUGCCCGUACAACAGUUUCCCCCAUGCCUGAAUUGUUUAACAAAUCUUUGAUACUUGCAUUUGUUUUUAGUGGUAUGAGAAGAUAUCCUGGAAGGCAGCAUAUGUGUUGAUGUACUGAAGUUGACAUUUGCGUUGUUAAGCUUGUGUAUUGGCUGCGUAGGAGGCAGGAGUUCAUACAUGGCAAAUACAACAGCAACCUAAUCUCAAAUUAUUUUUGUUUUUGUUUAAGUUAUUAGAUCCUUUCCUUCUCUUCAGUAAGUAUUGAACCAUGCCCCCCGGACCCAUCUUAUAUUGAUCUACUUUAGUGAGCACCUUGCACAUGCAGGGGUGUGAACAGAAAGUACGUAUUUGAGGUAUUUAUAGUUUGCAUUGUGGUACCUCUGAGCUUUGUUACCUGAUGAAUCCCUUAUUUGACUGCUCACACACUUCCCAUACACUCUGUACUAGCUGUGAUGGUCAAACAGCUUUUCCUUGCCAAGACAAAUACACAGCAUGUCUAGCUCAGAUCUCCUAGCCAGUAGUGUGAUGCAUGGCAGGAAGGAGAAUGCACUGAUUUUUAACUGUGUUCAGGUUUAUUUGUUGGGGGGGGGGGGGGCGGGUAGAGGGGCAGGGAGAGGUGGAACAGGCAUGGAGGGCAAGUUUGAUGGCCUACAUUAAAUAAAAGGAAAGAGAGCUGUAAAAAUCUCCCAGUGUAAUGCAAGCCUUACAGAAGGAAGAGCUAUUUAUAGGAUACUGCAAUAUUUGCCUCAAGGAACUUUAGAGCAGAGAGGGCAGCGUUACACAAAGACGGGUGAGAGCACACUUGUGCGCUCACAGCUGGGAAGGUCAUAGCUGGGGCUUGUCUUACAGUGAGAUUCCACCCUGCCUUGGCCUGACGGGAGUAGAGACUGAUGGCUCCUUUUGAAGGCCAAAUCCUAGUGGCAGAAAAGCCCCUCAUUCGGGAGGCAUAUACUGAGAAGAUCCUUCAUAGCAUGUGACAUAACUACUGCGUAUUGGUACUUCUCUGAAAAGAUUGCAUCUGGCCAGGCCAAGGAGUUCCUAAUCACAUUAUGAAGAAAAGAAAAAAGAGGAGGAAAAAAAAAAGUUGGCAUGGAAUAUAGUUUAAAUGUAAUAAAAGGCUUGAGUAAAAGGGUCUGUGAUGUUGUGGUAGCAGACAGCUACAAAAGUGGUUAAGAAAGUGAGGCAGUGUUUCCUCCAAGGUAGUCUGGGGAAGUUGUUUGAUUAAAAAGUUCUUAAAUGAAUUUAAAACUUUGGAUAAGGAUGUAGUUUAGAGUUGUCCAAGAUACUUGUCUCUUUAAUUUGCUGUAAAAAAAGUGGAACUCUUCUAACAUGUGGCAUACCAUAGUUGUUUUUAUGUAAAGUGUUUGAAGGCAAAUAAACUGCUUGUCACACUCUG